rnacentral:rRNA from 1 species
UGUCGUCAGCUCGUGUCGUGAGAUGUUGGGUUAAGUCCCGCAACGAGCGCAACCCUUAUUUUUAGUUGCUAAUUUAUUUUAGGUUCCUAGAAAGACUGCCGGUGACAAACCGGAGGAAGGUGAGGAUGACGUCAAGUCAGCAUGCCCCUUAUGCCUUGGGCUACACACGUGCUACAAUGGUUAAGACAAAGAGUUGCGAGCUCGCGAGAGUCAGCUAAUCUCAUAAACUUAGCCUAAGUUCGGAUUGUAGGCUGCAACUCGCCUGCAUGAAGUCGGAAUCGCUAGUAAUCGCUGGUCAGCCAUACAGCGGUGAAUCCGUUCCCGGGCCUUGUACACACCGCCCGUCACA